rnacentral:rRNA from 1 species
GCAAGUCGAACAGAAGCCAGGGCUUGCCCUGGUGGAAAGUGGCGAACGGGUGAGUAACGCGUAGGAUAUCUGCCCUCAGCUGGAGAAUCACCUCGGGAAACCGAGGCUUAUACUACAUAAUGUCGGAGGACCGCAUGGUCCCCCGAUCAAAGCUUCUGCGGCUGAGGAUGAGCCUGCGUUGGAUUAGCUAGUUGGUGAGGUAAAGGCUCACCAAGGCGACGAUCCAUAGCGGGUCUGAGAGGAUGAUC